CGGAACUCUGGUGGGAGGGAGGUCCGGUGGUCUGGGGGAGGGGUGGCUGAGGUGGACCGACUGUAGCUGGGAGUCUCCUUCUCCAGCGGGAUGUCGGAAUAGGACGAUUUAACUAUUUGGACGCGAACUGGGGUGGUCGGAUACGAACGGAGGGCGGCCCGCCCUGCGGCAACCGGAGGGGGAGGGAGAAGGGAGGGGAAAAGGCUCGAAGCCGGACAGAGCCAUUGCUCUUGUGGAGGGAGGGUCGCUUCCGGCCUCAUCUCUUGUCGCUGAUUGGCCAUUUCUCCUCCCGCCGUAUGUGAAAACACAAAUGGCGUAUUUUGGUUGGAGUAAAGCGCCUGUCAGUUACAGCCUUGGAAGUGCGCAGCCGCCUGGCUACUCGCGCGGCCCCCUGGGUGGGGCGGGAGGGUAGGUGGGGUGAGGCCAGGCUGUGCGGGCGCGGUCGGCCUCCGCGGGGGAGGGGAGGUCAGUGAAAGUGGCUCCCGCGCGGACGUCCUCCCACCCUCCCCUGCCUGCAGGGGAGUUGGUUUGCCCGCCGUCUGUUAGGCUCCGGCGUCUGAUUGGCUGCUGUGUCCCGGGGAAUGGACUCUUGCUAUUGGCUCUGAUUCCAAGUGAGCGAAACCACUUGGCGGGCCGUCAGGGGUGGCGGAGAGGCGGGCGUUGGUUCGGCCCUCCCCGAGGUCCUGCGCCGCAGUGUCUGGCCCCGCGCCCCGGCGCAACGUGGCAGGAAGCGCGCGCCGGAGGCGGGGACGGGCUGCCGGCCUAGGCUUCUGGGUGUUGGCUGCCUCGGCUCCGCCCCAGUUGCCUACCUCUGGAAGGGCGAGAGGAUCCGGACCCGCUCCAGGCAGCCAGGGGGGUGGGGGAGACGCAGUGGUCUGUUGGGCUGGUUUGGGGGCGGAAGGCGUGCGUUCUCCAAAAAUGCGCGCGAGCUGCAGUCCUGAGCCCUGCAGUGUAGGGGGCGGAGAGAGGGCCGCACCCUUCUCGGUAGAGGGAGGGCAGUACCGCAAUACCUUUCUGGGAGUUCUUUGCUGCCUUUAGUCCUUUAAGGACCGCCCUGGGCCUAGAAGAAUCCCUCCCCUCCCCCUCUGUGAUCUCAUCGUCGCCUCCAUGUCGAUUCGCUUCGCGAUUAUGGGAUUCUUUGGCCAGGCUUAAGGGCAAACCUGCUGCCUGGGCGUUGUCCUGUAGGAAUGAAGCAGGUGUAAGAUUUGAGGGGUAGAAUUGAAUUUGUGUCAGGAGGUAAUUAUAGGGGUGGAAGAGGGUAGUGGGGGCUAGGCAUUCACAAAGCAUUCACCUGGGAUUAGCUUUACACAGAUAGUGUGAAUUGUUACUACUUGACUUGCUUUUUGGAGCAUUUCUCCUGGAGAUUGAUUAAAGGUGUGACUGAUUUUUAUACUCACCCCACCAAAAUACAAUAUAGCACCUCAUAUGGCCGUAAAUUUUUUUGCUCGCUCUGCAUCCUUCCCACGAGUAUUUCAGCUACUCGUACUUUGGUCCCACUUUACAUGUGUUACUUGCUUAUCCAGUCUCCAGACCUGCCACUGGCUUUGUCCCUCCUGAUCUUGAGUAUGCCUGGUGAGUCAUGAAACCAGACAGAUUGGUUCCACCAGAAAUUUACCUAGAAGUGCUUUUAUUCCUCCUUAAUGUACUUUCUGGGAUAUUUACCUUGAUGUUGAUUUUAUCUUUUUUUUCCUCAGCUGGGAUUCUUCCCUUGGGCCUGCCUAUUCACAAUCCACAUAACUUUGAUUACUGAUCUCUAGCACCCUUUUGCCUUUAAACAUUUCUCAUUGCAUCCCUUUAUUUCUGUUCUCAUCAGUUAGUAAUUGAGCUCAGUAGAUUGUAUAACAGCUUCCCAACUUGUCUCUGCUCUAUUAUUUUCUGAUACAUCCUACAUAUUACCAGGAUGACAGAUGAAACUCCCUUACUGGUUAUUUACUAGUAGGAUGAAAUCCAUCCUCAGUGUGAUAGCCAAUGACCCUCACUGUUUUAGCCUCAACUUUUAAGCAGUUUUUUUCCUUUGUUACUAUAGGGACAGGAGCCCCAUAGGCAGAAUAGAGAAGUGGGUGGUGGAGAGCUUCUGAGAGGGGCAAAAACACAAGGAAGUGAAACCUUAAACCGGAGAUAGGACCAUGUGUCCUAGGAUGAGGGCAGUGACAUGAGUAGAAGGGACCAAACCAACCACGACCCCUGCUGCACUUGUUAAAAUGUAUGGAAAAUCCAUUUAAAAGUGGGUAAGGGCUACAUGACUGGAGAUGGGGGACCCAAUCAUAACCCAAAUCUGCCUGCAUGACUUUUAACAACUCUGAAGGGGAAGAGAAAUCCCCUAGGGAUUUAAAAGGAAGUCUGCUCACCCCUAGCAAUGGACUCCCAGCGCUAGGGUCCCUCCUCCUAGUGAGGAGUUCGUUCUCCUUCUGCAAUAAACUUUUGCUUUGCAACACUAAGGACUUCAAUCUCUAUUUCUGUACUGAAUUGAAAGUCCAGACCCGGGAAAGGAGACUAGGGGUGCUGAGUGGUUGUGACAAUUUGGGGCUCCUGUAGGGUACUUGAAGACCACCAACAUGGUCAGUAUCAUUUGGCCUAAACAGGCAUCCCACCAGGGAGGAGUGACUGUAUCUAGCACCUUCAUCUUGUGUGAUCAUUUGGGGAUAACCCUAGCCAUGACUAACGUGGCUGAAAUCUCCUGGCCAAGACCCCAGGAGGUAGGCAGGCAGGCCCCUUGUCCUACCCUCAUACAGCUAACAUGUAGUCCUCAAGAACCCUGCGAGCCUAGGAAUUCAGCCAAGCUGUCUUGCUCCUGGUGACCUACCCAGGGAAUUAUACAGAUCUGCCACAUGCCAAGAAGCCCUUCUGGGAGACCAUGGGGAGUGGUAGGCACCUCCCUCCCUGGACCCCCUGGAGGGAUUUCUUCCAGAGGUUACCCCCAGCUCAGGACAUCCUUCAGUGGAUUUCCCUAUCGAAAGGUAUAUAUGCCUUUUCUGUCACUCAGACUGGCUCUCUGGGAUGCCUGGAGAAGGAUCCCCAGAGCAUGAGGAAUAUUUUGCCUUUGUUGUUCAUCUGGCUUAUCGCAGCCAGACCUGUGUAGCCUAUUAUACCUCCUCAGUCAUAUUUUCAGAGCUCCUCAAAUGGAAUGAGGUGUGGGGACUCAGAUUGAUGGCACGUCUGUAGGCUGGAAUGGGAAUGAAUAAACGACUGAGCCUCGUACUUGCUGAGGUAUAGCCAGGAGUGUAUCUUCCUCAAGCCAUCUUUUCCCUCUCUAUUAGGAUAUAAGGGCAGACACUCGAUGGAGACAGUUCCUGCCCUGCAAACUGAGGCUCUUCGUGCCCUGUUGGGUCAGUCUGUUGAGCUCCAGUGGGCAAUCAGCACCUUUGAGGAGUGAAGGCACCAAAGAUAUUUCAGAUACCAAAGGAAAUAGAAGGACCAGGCUCUUGCCCAUGGCCAUAGCAUGGAAGAUUCCCACUAGGGAGACCUGACCCUUUCAGGGUCAUCCUUGGGCCAGCUUUAGGAACCAUCCUGACUGGAUUAAAGAGUACCAAAUUGAUGGCACCCUUAUGGCCAGCCUAUGUGGCCUGCCUCCUUCAUAGGAGAAGAUAAUGAAGAGCCUCCAAUAAAAUUAGGAACUCCUGCUGCUGUCCAGCUCCCAACUGGGUAAAACACCCCCUGGCAGGUUAUGACCUACCCUAAGCCUACUGUGCUGCUUGCAAGGAAAAUAUGCUUCCCCUCAGCCCAGUUCAGUGGAGAAGGGUCUUGAUGAUCCUUCUCAAUCUAGAGCUCAAAGGGGAAUUGGGCAGUUACACAGAUGACCCUGACACCCAUGUAGUUUUGAGCAUCUCUGUGCAGUAGUGUAUAUAAUAGGGCAUGGAAAGAUGAGUGCUGCUUUGGGAUGAAACUUUAAAUCAGUGAGAAAAGUAGGGUAUAAGAGCAAGCAGUCCAAGUGGGAAACAGUUACUACAUCCUAAAUCAUAAUGAUUUUGGUAAUACCUCAGUAGGCCAUGAAACUGAAGAAAAGGGCUAGGUGUGGUGGUGCAGGCUUAUAAUCCCAGCACUCAGAGGCUGAGGCGGGAGAAUCAUUGUGAGUUCAA